UACGUAGGGUGCAAGCGUUGUCCGGAAUUAUUGGGCGUAAAGAGCUCGUAGGCGGUUCGUCGCGUCGGCUGUGAAAACCUGAGGCUCAACCCCGGACUUGCAGUGGGUACGGGCAGACUAGAGUGUGGUAGGGGGAGACUGGAAUUCCUGGUGUAGCGGUGAAAUGCGCAGAUAUCAGGAGGAACACCGAUGGCGAAGGCAGGUCUCUGGGCCACUACUGACGCUGAGAAGCGAAAGCAUGGGGAGCGAACAGG
rnacentral:rRNA from 1 species